AGUGAACGCUGGCGGCAGGCCUAACACAUGCAAGUCGAACGGCAGCACAAGAGAGCUUGCUCUCUGGGUGGCGAGUGGCGGACGGGUGAGGAAUGCAUCGGAAUCUGCCCAUUUGUGGGGGAUAACCUCGGGAAACCGGGACUAAUACCGCAUACGACCUACGGGUGAAAGCAGGGGAUCUUCGGACCUUGCGCAGAUGGAUGAGCCGAUGCCGGAUUAGCUAGUUGGAGGGGUAAAGGCCCACCAAGGCGACGAUCCGUAGCUGGUCUGAGAGGAUGAUCAGCCACACUGGGACUGAGACACGGCCCAGACUCCUACGGGAGGCAGCAGUGGGGAAUAUUGGACAAUGGGCGCAAGCCUGAUCCAGCCAUGCCGCGUGUGUGAAGAAGGCCUUCGGGUUGUAAAGCACUUUUGUUGGGAAAGAAAAGCAGCCGGUUAAUACCCGGUUGUCAUGACGGUACCCAAAGAAUAAGCACCGGCUAGCUUCGUG
rnacentral:rRNA from 1 species